rnacentral:rRNA from 1 species
AUUGAACGCUGGCGGCAGGCCUAACACAUGCAAGUCGAGCGAGCGGCGGACAGGUGAGUAAUGUAUCGGGAAUGCGCGAUAGAGGGGGAGAACCACUGGAAACGGUAGCUAAUACCGCAUACUACCGGAUUAUCCAUAGGGGAUUAGCUAGUGGGGGGGGUAAUGGCUCACCUAGGCGACGAUCCCUAGCUGGUCUGAGAGGAUGAUCAGCCACACUGGGACUGAUACACGGCCCAGACUCCUACGGAGGCAGCAGUGGGGAAUAUUGCACAAUGGGCGCAAGCCUGAUGCAGCCAUGCCGCGUGUAUGAAGAAGGCCCUAGGUUUGUAAAGUACUUUCAGUCGGGAGGCGUUACCGACAGAAGAAGCACCGGCUAACUCCGUGCCAGCAGCCGCGGUAAUAC